GAACGCUGGCGGCGUGCCUAAUACAUGCAAGUCGAGCGGACCGACGGGAGCUUGCUCCCUUAGGUCAGCGGCGGACGGGUGAGUAACACGUGGGUAACCUGCCUGUAAGACUGGGAUAACUCCGGGAAACCGGGGCUAAUACCGGAUGCUUGAUUGAACCGCAUGGUUCAAUCAUAAAAGGUGGCUUUYAGCUACCACUURCAGAUGGACCCGCGGCGCAUUAGCUAGUUGGUGAGGUAACGGCUCACCAAGGCGACGAUGCGUAGCCGACCUGAGAGGGUGAUCGGCCACACUGGGACUGAGACACGGCCCAGACUCCUACGGGAGGCAGCAGUAGGGAAUCUUCCGCAAUGGACGAAAGUCUGACGGAGCAACGCCGCGUGAGUGAUGAAGGUUUUCGGAUCGUAAAACUCUGUUGUUAGGGAAGAACAAGUACCGUUCGAAUAGGGCGGCACCU
rnacentral:rRNA from 1 species